GAUCAUGGCUCAGGAUGAACGCUAGCUACAGGCUUAACACAUGCAAGUCGAGGGGCAGCAUGGUCUUAGCUUGCUAAGGCCGAUGGCGACCGGCGCACGGGUGAGUAACACGUAUCCAACCUGCCGUCUACUCUUGGACAGCCUUCUGAAAGGAAGAUUAAUACAAGAUGGCAUCAUGAGUCCGCANGUUCACAUGAUUAAGGUAAUUCCGUUACGACGAUGGGAGG
rnacentral:rRNA from 1 species